rnacentral:rRNA from 1 species
GAGUUUGAUCAUGGCUCAGAACGAACGCUGGCGGCAUGCCUAACACAUGCAAGUCGAACGAAGCCUUCGGGCUUAGUGGCGCACGGGUGCGUAACACGUGGGAAUCUGCCCUUUGGUUCGGAAUAACAGUUAGAAAUGACUGCUAAUACCGGAUAAUGACGUAAGUCCAAAGAUUUAUCGCCGAAGGAUGAGCCCGCGUAGGAUUAGGUAGUUGGUGGGGUAAUGGCCCACCAAGCCGACGAUCCUUAGCUGGUCUGAGGGGAUGAUCAGCCACACUGGGACUGAGACACGGCCCAGACUCCUACGGGAGGCAGCAGUGGGGAAUAUUGGACAAUGGGCGAAAGCCUGAUCCAGCAAUGCCGCGUGAGUGAUGAAGGCCUUAGGGUUGUAAAGCUCUUUUACCAGGGAUGAUAAUGACAGUACCUGGAGAAUAAGCUCCGGCUAACUCCGUG